rnacentral:tRNA from 1 species
GUGUAUGAGAGUUUUACAGGCCUU